CAAGAAUUUUGGUAAAAUCUCAGAAGGGGCUUCCUAUUAGUCCCAGUCUUCCAGAGUCACAAAUGGCUGCUUUCCAAAAAACACCUGAUGUCACAAACUGGGGUUCCACAACUUUCAUCCCCUGUCUCUGCCGCCUGCCCGCGGGUCUCCACUUCCUCAGACUGGGUGCUACCACGGGCUACCCGGGCACGCGCCGAGUGAUGUCAUCUUCGCGCGCCCAAGCGGAGGUCCAUCUAGCCCCGUCCCCCUUGAUUAGAGGGGUGGGGCAGUAGAGUCUGCGCAGGCGCGAUGCUACCUCGGGCAUGGAAAGGCGAGAAAAAGGCUUGGUUUGGGUUGUGUGCGGUUGCCCUCACCUAACUACUCUUCCAAAAUCUUAUAUGCACUUCAGAAAAAAAAAAGUUAUUGAAAUACAGGCAUGGACUUUUUAUUCCUUAUUUUGCUCUUCCUCUUCUGUAUAUAACCCUUGUUUGUAUACUCACUCAUUCAACGGCAAUUAAUUAAAAGUCCACUUAUGUUCCAGGCAAGCACUGUUACAGAAUCGGGGAUACGGCAAUGACAAAACAGACAGAAUGCCUAGCCUCAUGGAGAUUACUUUCUAAUUAAGAAAGUGAACAAUGAAUAACUCCGCAAAGAUAUUUUAGGCAUACCUCAUUUUAUUGCACCUCACUUUAGGUCACUGGGCAACUCUACCAUUGUCAGAUAAUGGUUAGCAUUUUUUAGCAUUAAAUUAUUUUGAUUAAGAUAUGUAUUUUUGACAUAAUACUAUUGCACAUUUAAUAGACUAUAGGUGGCUCAGAGGUUAAAGCGUCUGGCUGCAAUGUGGGAGACCUGGGUUCGAUCCCUGGGUAGAGAAGAUCCCCUGGAGAAGGA